rnacentral:tRNA from 1 species
UAUAACCCCAGAGAAGAGCA